rnacentral:rRNA from 1 species
CGCGGCCUAUCAGCUUGUUGGUGGGGUAACGGCCUGCCAAGGCAUCGACGGGUAGCUGGUCUGAGAGGACGAUCAGCCACACUGGGACCGAGACACGGCCCAGACUCCUACGGGAGGCAGCAGUGGGAAUAUUGCGCAAUGGGCGAAAGCCUGACGCAGCAACGCCGCGUGGGGGAUGAAGGCUUUCGGGUUGUAAACCCCUUUCAGUGAUGACGAAAAUGACGGUAAUCACAGAAGAAGCCCCGGCCAACUACGUGCCAGCAGCCGCGGUAACACGUAGGGGGCGAGCGUUGUCCGGAUUUAUUGGGCGUAAAGAGCUCGUAGGCGGUUGCGUAAGUCGGACGUGAAAACUCAGGGCUCAACCCUGAGAUGCCGUUCGAUACUGCGCUGACUAGAGUCCGGUAGGGGAGCAUGGAAUUCCUGGUGUAGCGGUGAAAUGCGCAGAUAUCGGGAGGAACACCAGUAGCGAAGGCGGCUCUCUGGGCCGGUACCGACGCUGAGGAGCGAAAGCGUGGGGAGCAAACAGGAUUAGAUACCCUGGUAGUCCACGCCGUAAACGUUGGGUACUAGGUGUGGCGGGUUCAUCAAUGCCCGCCGUACCGAAGCUAACGCAUUAAGUACCCCGCCUGGGGAGUACGG